CAAGCUUCCAGGCACCAUGGAAGGUUUGAAAGCCCUGAUUCGACUCCACCUAACAUUCUUGUUAGCAUCUGAACAUAAAACUGUUCUCAAAGAGGAAGGAGCAGCAGCUAAUCUCCAGCUUCUUGUCAACUCUGCCACCUUCCCUCCCUGCUGAACAAAAGCAUCUCCACAGCAUGAUGCUCUCACCACAAACUACCUCUGGGGAGCUGAAAAGUGUUGGUCUUCUUCCACACGUGGCCU